rnacentral:rRNA from 1 species
CCAAUAGCGUAUAUUAAAGUUGUUGCAGUUAAAAAGCUCGUAGUUGAAUUUCGGGGUUAGUAGGUUGGUCAUGCCUCUGGUAUGUACUGAUCUCACUGAUUCCUCCCUCUUGACGAACUGUAAUGUCAUUAAUUUGGUGUUGCAGGAAAUCAGGACUGUUACUUUGAAAAAAUUAGAGUGUUUAAAGCAGGCUAAGGCUUGAAUACAUUAGCAUGGAAUAAUGAAAUAGGACGUUUGAUCCUAUUUUGUUGGCUUCUAGGAUUGACGUAAUGAUUAAUAGGGAUAGUUGGGGGCAUUAGUAUUCAAUUGUCAGAGGUGAAAUUCUUGGAUUUAUUGAAGACUAACUACUGCGAAAGCAUUUGCCAAGGAUGUUUUCAUUAAUAAAGAACGAAAGUUAGGGGAUCGAAGACGAUCAGAUACCGUCGUAGUCUUAACCAUAAACUAUGCCGACUAGGGAUCGGAUGAUGUUAAUUUUUUAAUGACUCAUUCGGCGCCUUACG